rnacentral:lncRNA from 1 species
AAAAAAAAAAAAAACCUAUUUUGCUAAAUCUAAAUACAUAUGUUUGACUCCCAAUAUAUAACCAAAGUUCACAUGUUUCCCAAAUCGUUAUGGAAGCCAAGGUUCGAAUCAUUGCCAUUGCAAAUAGAAUAUAAAUCUUACAUUGUACUUUUGUUAUCAUUUCUCUAAAUCUGAAUAUUUGGCUUAUUAGUUUCCAAAAAAAAAAACUCCAAUUUUAAUUUCAAGGUUCAAAUCACUCCCUAUGCAAAUUGAAAUAAAAAUUUUACAUUGUGAUUGGUUAACCACAUUCGGUUCAUGUUACUCUUAAACCCGUCCGAACCGACCAAUUUUUGAGUGGUUUAGUUGAUUCUUGAUUUGGUCAUUUGCUUGUUUGUCUACUUAGUGAACUCAGACCAAACAACCAUCCAGUUUGACAGUUCCCUGUCUGAAACCAACGGGUCCGAUCCGAUUUUAAUAACUAUGCUUGAUGUAUAAAUAGCAAGGUAAGGAUUUUCUUGCAAGUUUUCUUUGAGCUAAAUGUUUCAGUAGCCAUUAAACAUGUUUUUCCCUCCCACUUUACUCAUUAAACUUUAAAAUGUUUUCGAGCGGUCAGUGAACUUUAAUACACUGUAUUUCAUUAAUUAUUGAACUUUAAAGUGCUUUUGAGUGACGACUAAAUUUUAACAUACUGUUAGGUAUGGCAAUUUAGCUUGCCAGUUUGGGGCCGAAAGUGGCUCGGCAAAAUAAAAAAAAAAAAAGCCCGAGUUGGCUAGCGGCCCUAUUGAAAAAAAAAAUUAAGUUAAAGGCGGCAGAUGUGUUGCCUUAAUAGGCACUCGGUUGCUACCUUUUAAGACAGCCAGCUGCGACUUCCUUAUUAAAGGCUCGAGUCGAAAGUUCGGGUCGAGUUUAAUUUUUUUGGCCGAGCUUUGGGCUUAAAAAAAGCUCGCUCCCUUUAUCCCAGCCGAGCCUCAAGUUUCGACUUACGAGUCGAUUCGGCUCAACUCGUUGACAUCCCUACAUACUUCGUCAACCAUUCACCAUGUUUCAUCAGUUAUUAAACUUAUAAUUUUGUCACGUUUUACUUAUUGAAUUUUAAAAUACUUUCAAGUGGUCACUAAAUUUUAGUCAUUGAAAUCAAUUGUUCAAAAAUGAAAAAUUUUGAAAUAUAAAAUAUCAUACACAAAGACUGCAUCUUUAUUUCCUCUUGUUAAUAUUAUUGACUUCAAAUCGAAAAUUUCACUAUAUUUUUUUAGAUAUAUCAUAUGCAUAACCCUGAUUAGGCUCCAUUAAAAAAAAUGCUUUGAGAAAAGUGUAUGUUGGAGUAGUGUGGUUAAAAAAUAAAGAAAAUUUGUCAAUUCUUGUAUAAUAUUAUUUUAUUGAAAAAUGUGGUUAAAAAUAAGAAAGAAAAAAAUGUAUUUAAAAAAAAAUGGAACCCAAACCGGGCAUAGUUUUUUAUUUUCUUUAUUUGGAUCUAUUUUAUUUUUUCGACGUAAAAGAAUAUUUGGUAUAAAUUAAGAUUUAUGUCAAUUUGAAUCUAACACCCUUCCUUUCUCUUCAAUAUAGCUUUUGGCGACUAGAGAAAUUAUAUCUUCUUAAACAAUAUUAAUAUUCUCCUUUUAAAUUGAGAGUCUCAUUAUAUAUUCGAUAUUUAUUUAUUUAUCUUGGUCAAAUCUCUUAAAAAAUUAAAUUUACAUGAAAUUAUUUUGAAGUUUAGUGACCACUCAAAAACAUUUUAAAGUUCAACGAAUAACGCGUAACGAACAUAUAAGUUCAAUAACUAAUGAACAUAAUGAAUAUGAGUGAUGAAGUGCAACGUGUAAAAAUUCAGAUCAUGAGUAAGUGAUAAAGUGUAAUGUGUUAAAGUUCAGUGAUUACUCAAGUAUAAUUUAAAGUUCAGGGAAUAAAAUGUGCCAAAAGUAUAAAUUCAAUGACAAAUAAAAUAUGUAACUCAAUUUCUUCUUCUCUGAGCACUAUUAUGCAAAAAACCGUGGGUUGUUUUUAUUUAUUAUUAGAUUUAAAUUAGCCACAUCUUAUACUAGCUUCAUCCAUACUACAAUAUCAAUCUAAGCACGAUAUAUUAAAUUUAAUUAAAAAUAAAAGCACGUCAGUAUGAUGUCAUUUAAACUUGUGUUGUAACACUGUUAAAUAGAUUAUUCUUUUUACGCAAUAUGUUACUCUAGAGAUCAAUUUUAGUUGUUUGGACACAUUUUAUCCAUGUAGUUUAUUUUUCUCUUAACAGAAGCGAAACUCGAAAAUUACAAAAUAAUUGUGCUCGGUGUACAAUUACUGCUAGUGAUUUCGAGCUAACUGCAAAUUGGAAUGUAUACAAAUGAACAUUUUGUUUGAAGCCCAGAAAAAGAAAACAAUUAAUCAGGGGAAUUUGGAGUUUAGAACUAUGUACAUGAUCAACUCAUAGAUCUGAAAUACAUGAUUUGUAAAGAUACAUAUUGCACUGGAUAAAAGGGGAUUGGACUAGAAUUUACAAUUUUUGAUAGCCUACCAUUCCCAGCAGAAACCUCAUUUUCACUCUUCAAUUACCAGUUACACAUUUCCACAACAUCCUGAAGCCUCCUCUCCAGCGCGGCAGCGGAGGAAUCCACGGCUGCAGACUCUUUGACUUGUGACGAUUCUCGUCGGAAUACGGUUUCGAAACGGGAAACGCACUUUGCGAUUGACUCUUUCGCUUGAAAACCAGAUGCAGAAGGCGAGGAUGAACAAUUGGAAAUACGCGACGACGUUGGUCUGGUGUGGUGCCCUAAUAUGAGCAUUGCUGCUGUUGGUGCCAUGCCUUGGUGGAAUCCAGAUGAAUUAUUUGAAGCAAAUUUUGUUGAAGAUGAAGAACGAUGUGUUUGUGGUGGUGAGAGUUUUAAUUUGCGAUGAAGGAAACAAACUGUGGGCUCUGCUGUUGGUUUUGAGUUUUGGAGUCUGAUCCCAAUCUACUGACUUUUGUUAAAUCAGGUAAAUUCACAUUAAUUUAUUUUACUUUAGUUACAUCAUUCAAUUUUACCACUUAAAUUGACAGAAAAUAACGAUGAUGGUCGUCUCGCAUCGGCCCGGUUUCAUGUGAUGAACAUCAUUUAUUGAUCAAUACGGCAC